AUACGGAGGAUCCGAGCGUUAUCCGGAUUUAUUGGGUUUAAAGGGUGCGCAGGCGGCCAUUUAAGUCAGCGGUUAAAUCGUGGGGCUCAACCCCAUUCUGCCGUUGAUACUGGGUGGCUUGAUUGCGGUCGAGGUUGGCGGAAUUCGUUGUGUAGCGGUGAAAUGCAUAGAUAUGACGAAGAACACCGAUUGCGUAGGCAGCUGACCAGACCGCAAAUGACGCUCAUGCACGAAAGUGCGGGGAUCGAACAGGAUUAGAUACCCUGGUAGUCCGCACAGUAAACGAUGAAUACUUGUUUUCGGCGAUAUAAUGUCGGAGGCAAAGCGAAAGCGAUAAGUAUUCCACCUGGGGAGUACGCCGGCAACGGUGAAACUCAAAGGAAUCGACGGGG
rnacentral:rRNA from 1 species